GACGAACGCUGGCGGCGUGCUUAACACAUGCAAGUCGAGCGGUAAGGCCUUUCGGGGUACACGAGCGGCGAACGGGUGAGUAACACGUGGGUGAUCUGCCCUGCACUCUGGGAUAAGCCUGGGAAACUGGGUCUAAUACCGGAUAUGACUACAUGCUGCAUGGUGUGUGGUGGAAAGAUUUAUCGGUGCAGGAUGGGCCCGCGGCCUAUCAGCUUGUUGGUGGGGUAAUGGCCUACCAAGGCGACGACGGGUAGCCGACCUGAGAGGGUGACCGGCCACACUGGGACUGAGACGCGGCCCAGACUCCUACGGGAGGCAGCAGUGGGGAAUAUUGCACAAUGGGCGGAAGCCUGAUGCAGCGACGCCGCGUGAGGGAUGAAGGCCUUCGGGUUGUAAACCUCUUUCAGCAGGGACGAAGCGUGAGUGACGGUACCUGCAGAAGAAGCACCGGCUAACUACGUGCCAGCAGCCGCCGUAACAC
rnacentral:rRNA from 1 species